GCGCUCAUAGCUCAGCUGGAUAGAGUGUUUGGCUACGAACCAAAAGGUCGCAGGUUCGAGUCCUGCUGGGCGCACCA
rnacentral:tRNA from 1 species